rnacentral:rRNA from 1 species
UACGGGGGGAGCAAGCGUUGUUCGGAUUUACUGGGCGUAAAGGGCGCGUAGGCGGCUUGGCAAGUGGAAGGUGAAAUCCCUCGGCUUAGCCGAGGAACUGCCCUCCAAACUGCUUGGCUUGAGACCGGGAGAGGUGAGUGGAAUUCCCAGUGUAGCGGUGAAAUGCGUAGAUAUUGGGAGGAACACCAGUGGCGAAGGCGGCUCACUGGACCGGUACUGACGCUGAUGCGCGAAAGCGUGGGGAGCAAACGGG